UACGAGGGCUCCAAGCGUUAUCCGGAUUUAUUGGGCGUAAAGAGUGCGUAGGAGGACAGGAAAGUCUGCUGUUAAAUCUUGGGGCUCAACUUCAAGGCCGCAGCAGAAACUUCUUGUCUAGAGUGUGCGAGAGGCUGAUAGAACUCACGGUGUAGGGGUGAAAUCCGUUGAUAUCGUGGGGAAUACCAAAGGCGAAGGCAUUCAGCUGGCGCAUUACUGACUCUAAAGCACGAAAGCGUGGGGAGCAAAAAGG
rnacentral:misc_RNA from 1 species